rnacentral:rRNA from 1 species
AUUGAACGCUGGCGGCAGGCCUAACACAUGCAAGUCGAACGAGUGGCGGACGGGUGAGUAAUGUCUGGGAAACUGCCUGAUGGAGGGGGAUAACUACUGGAAACGGUAGCUAAUACCGCAUACCAUCGGAUGUGCCCAGAUGGGAUUAGCUAGAAGGUGGGGUAACGGCUCACAUAGGCGACGAUCCCUAGCUGGUCUGAGAGGAUGACCAGCCACACUGGCACGGUGACACGGUGCAGACUCCUACGCGAGGCAGCAGUGGGGAAUUUUGCACAAUGGGCGAAAGCCGGAUGCAGCCAUGCCGCGUGUAUGAAGAAGGCCUUCGGGUUGUAAAGUACUUUCAGCGGUGAGGCGUUACCCGCAGAAGAAGCACCGGCUAACUCCGUGCCAGCCGCCGCGGUAAUAC